rnacentral:rRNA from 1 species
UACGGGGGGAGCAAGCGUUGUUCGGAUUUACUGGGCGUAAAGGGCGCGUAGGCGGCGUGACAAGUCACUUGUGAAAUCUCCGGGCUUAACCCGGAGCGGUCAAGUGAUACUGUCGUGCUAGAGUGCGGAAGGGGCAACUGGAAUUCUCGGUGUAGCGGUGGAAUGCGCAGAUAUCAGGAGGAACACCGGUGGCGAAGGCGGGUCUCUGGGCAGUAACUGACGCUGAGGAGCGAAAGCGUGGGGAGCGAACAGG